AUGUCCGUGUGCCAGGGCUGCUGUCACAUCUGUGUCCAUGUGCUAUGUCUGUGUUCCAUGGCUGUGUGUGACACCCGUGUCCGUGUUCUGAGGCUGCUGUCACACACAUGUCCAUGUGCCAUGGCUGCGUGUCACAUCCAUGUCCGUGUGCUGUGUCCGUGUAUCACAUCUGUGUCCAUGUGCCAUGGCUACAUGUCACACCCGUGUCCAUGUGCUGUGCGCGUGUGCUGGGGCUGCUGUCACAUCCGUGUCCAUGUGCCAUGGCUGUGUGUCACACCCAUGCCCAUGUGCUGUGCCCGUGUGCCAUGUCCGUGUGCCAUGGCUGCGUGUCACAUCCAUGUGCCGUUGCUGUGUGCCACAUGCCAUGGCCAUGUCUGUCCUGUGGCUUCGUGCAGUGUCCCUGUGCCAUGCCCAUGUGCCAUGGCUCCAUGUCACACCCAUACCUGUGUCCCUUGCCUGUGUGGCAUUGACAUGUGCCACAUACUGUGUCCCAUGGCUACAUGCCAUGUCCCUGUGUCUCAUCCCUGUCCCCUGUGUGUGCCCUGUGCCUGCACCCCAUCUCUUCAGUACGGGCUGGGGGGCUCUGCCAAGGGAUGGUUACAAGGUGCUGGCACGUGUCCCCAGGGCCCGGGGCUGGUGGCGGGGGGGCUGGUGGGGUCCUGCCUUGCCCGUGGGUCGGUGACGGGUGAGGGAGGAGCCAGCCGCCCCCCCGGAGGAUAUAAAACCCCCGGGUGGGUGGAGGAGCUGCUGUGUACCCGGCUCGGUGUCCCCGGCGCUGUCACCCCGCUGCCUGUCACCUCCCGCCUCCUCCACCGUGAGUGUGGGGACGGGGCUGGGGUCCCAUGGGGGUCCCACAGAGGAGAGGUGUCCCUUGGGGGGAGGCUGGGACCCCCUGGGAGGGAGAGGAUCCCUUGGGGACAGGAGGGGUGUCCCUGGAGGGGAGGUGUCCCCUGGGGAGGACUGGGGUCUCUGGGGUCCUUUGGGGCAGGAGAACUCCCUUGGAGACAGUGA
rnacentral:lncRNA from 1 species